rnacentral:rRNA from 1 species
GAUGAACGCUAGCGGCAGGCCUAAUACAUGCAAGUCGAACGGUAACAUGAAUAGCAAUAUUUGAUGACGAGUGGCGCACGGGUGCGUAACGCGUAUGCAAUCUACCUUCAACUGGUGAAUAGCCCGAAGAAAUUCGGAUUAAUACACCAUAGUAUAUUACGAGUGGCAUCACUUAAAUAUUAAAACUCCGGUGGUUGAAGAUGAGCAUGCGUGACAUUAGCUAGUUGGUGAGGUAAUGGCUCACCAAGGCUACGAUGUCUAGGGGAUCUG